GAUGAACGCUAGCGGCAGGCUUAAUACAUGCAAGUCGAACGGGAAUUGGGUAGCAAUACCUGAUGAUAGUGGCGCACGGGUGCGUAACGCGUAUGCAACCUACCUUUAACAGGGGGAUAGCCCGGAGAAAUUCGGAUUAAUACCCCAUAGUAUUAUGGAGAGGCAUCUUUUCAUGAUUAAAGUUCCGGCGGUUAAAGAUGGGCAUGCGUGCCAUUAGCUAGUUGGUGAGGUAACGGCUCACCAAGGCGACGAUGGUUAGGGGUCCUGAGAGGGUUAUCCCCCACACUGGCACUGAGACACGGACCAGACUCCUACGGGAGGCAGCAGUAAGGAAUAUUGGUCAAUGGGCGGAAGCCUGAACCAGCCAUGCCGCGUGCAGGAAGACGGCCUUAUGGGUUGUAAACUGCUUUUGUCAGGGAAUAAACCCUCGUUUGCGAACGAGGCUGAAGGUACCUGAAGAAUAAGCAUCGGCUAACUCCGUG
rnacentral:rRNA from 1 species